AGUGAACGCUGGCGGUAGGCCUAACACAUGCAAGUCGAACGGCAGCACAGUAAGAGCUUGCUCUUACGGGUGGCGAGUGGCGGACGGGUGAGGAAUACAUCGGAAUCUACUUUUUCGUGGGGGUUAAGGAAGGGAACUUACGCUAAUUACCCAAUACACCUACCGGGUAAAACAAGGGAUCUUCCGACCUUUGGCGGUUGAAUGAACCGAAGUCGGAUUAGCUAGUUGGCGGGGUAAAGGCCCACCAAGGCGACGAUCCGUAGCUGGUCUGAGAGGAUGAUCAGCCACACUGGAACUGAGACACGGUCCAGACUCCUACGGGAGGCAGCAGUGGGGAAUAUUGGACAAUGGGCGCAAGCCUGAUCCAGCCAUACCGCGUGGGUGAAGAAGGCCUUCGGGUUGUAAAGCCCUUUUGUUGGGAAAGAAAAGCAGCAGGUUAAUACCCCGCUGUUCUGACGGUACCCAAAGAAUAAGCACCGGCUAACUUCGUG
rnacentral:rRNA from 1 species